rnacentral:rRNA from 1 species
CUGUUUGCACAGGUGAAUGACAAUGAUCUCUCGAAAGAACUUUACAAAAAAUACAGCAGUGUACAUAGGCGGAAAGUUCGCGUGUGGCAGAUGAUAUGUGUUUUGUCAAGCUAUGUAGAGGAAGACAUAGUUGAGAAAGUGACAUCUACUGUUCACACCUGUCUUUAUAGAAAUAACCUACCUGCUGUCCGGCAGUACUUGGAGACGUUUGCUAUACUUAUUUACUUAAAAUUUCCAACACUGGCUGAAGCACAGCUUGUUCCUAUUUUUCAUGACCACGGAAUGCGACAACAGGCACUAUCUUCAUAUGUUUUUAUAGCAGCAAACGUGAUCCUCCAUUCAGGGGAGCUGGUUGUCCAGAGAAAGCAUCUUAAUCAACUGCUUCCUCCAAUAAUUUCAUUCUUAACAUCCCAUCAUCACAGUCUACGUAGUUUCACUCAGCUACUUGUCCACACUGUUUUUUCCAAGUUGUGGCAUAUUUUGCAACUAGAAAGCUCAGAAAAUCCAUCCAUCGAGAGGAGGUGCUUUCAAGAUUUGAAGAAGUAUCUGGCAGAGAAUACCGACUGCGCAAGGCUAAGAGUUUCAAUCGAAGGUUUCCUUGAUGUUUUUGAUCCUGAUAUAUCUGGGACUCCACCGGGAAUAUUUACAGCUCGCAUUGAGUCGUCUGGCUUUGAAUGUGUUCCUGUGUCGGUGUUGGAGCGAGUAAAUAACUUUUUGAACGACGUGAGGGAGGAGCUGAGGCAUUCUAUGAUAAAGGAUUCAGCAACAAUCAAGAACGAGGGCCUGGCGGUGAGAAAACACGAGGAGGGCACCGAAGAGAAGAUAGUAGCCAGUCAAGAUUUCCAGAAGAAGAUCAUACCCCACCGGGACUUGGAGCAAGCAGCGAGCAGCAACGGCGCGGUCAUGGGCAACAACGACAUCUCACGACUGCUCUUCGAGAUGGAGGAAGACGACGACACGUUCAACCUGGCGGUGGAGUCGAGGAAGGAGGCGGCGGAGACGGUGAGGCAGAGUCGGCAGGAUCUGAUCGUGGUGGCGUCGCUGGUGGAGCGGAUCCCGAACCUGGCGGGGCUGACCCGGACGUGCGAGAUAUUCAGGGCGGGCGGGCUGGCGGUGGAGGACAUGGGGGUGGUCCAGGACAAGCAGUUCCGGCUGAUCAGCGUGACGGCGGAGAAGUGGGUGCCGAUGGUGGAGGUGCCGGCGGAGAGCAUGAGGGCGUUCUUGCAGAGGAAGCGGGCGGAGGGGUACACGGUGGUGGGGCUGGAGCAGACGGCCAACAGCGUGGCGCUGGACGAGUUUGUGUUCCCGGCCAAGACGGUGGUGGUGCUGGGCAGGGAGAAGGAAGGGAUCCCGGUGGACAUCAUCCAGGAGGCGGUGGACGUGUGCGUCGAGAUCCCGCAGCUUGGCCGUCCGGUCACUCAACGUACAUGUCAGCGCCGCCAUCGCCAUCUGGGACUACACCCGCCAGCAGCGCGUCCGCUCCUCCUCCUCCUCCUCCUCGCUGUAGGUAGCUUCCGGUUCUCCUUCCUGUUGGAGUAA